GGGGAAUUUUGGACAAUGGGGGAAACCCUGAUCCAGCCAUGCCGCGUGCGGGAUGAAGGCCUUCGGGUUGUAAACCGCUUUUGUCAGAGACGAAAAGGGACGUACGAAUAAUACGUUCCGCUGACGGUAUCUGAAGAAUAAGCACCGGCUAACUACGUGCCAGCAGCCGCGGUAAUACGUAGGGUGCAAGCGUUAAUCGGAAUUACUGGGCGUAAAGGGUGCGCAGGCGGCUGUGCAAGACAGAUGUGAAAUCCCCGGGCUUAACCUGGGAACUGCAUUUGUGACUGCACGGCUAGAGUUUGUCAGAGGAGGGUGGAAUUCCGCGUGUAGCAGUGAAAUGCGUAGAUAUGCGGAAGAACACCAAUGGCGAAGGCAGCCCUCUGGGACAUGACUGACGCUCAUGCACGAAAGCGUGGGGAGCAAACAGGAUUAGAUACCCUGGUAGUCCACGCCCU
rnacentral:rRNA from 1 species